rnacentral:rRNA from 1 species
GACGAACGCUGGCGGCGUGCUUAACACAUGCAAGUCGAACGGAAAGGCCCUGCUUUUGUGGGGUGCUCGAGUGGCGAACGGGUGAGUAACACGUGAGUAACCUGCCCUUGACUUUGGGAUAACUUCAGGAAACUGGGGCUACUACCGGAUAGGAGCUCCUGCUGCAUGGUGGGGGUUGGAAAGUUUCGGCGGUUGGGGAUGGACUGGCGGCUUAUCAGCUUGUUGGUGGGGUAGUGGCUUACCAAGGGUUUGACGGGUAGCCGGCCUGAGAGGGUGACCGGCCACAAUGGGACUGAGAGACGCACCAGACUCCUACGGGAGGCAGCAGUGGGGAAUAUUGCACAAUGGGCGGAAGCCUGAUGCAGCAACGCCGCGUGCGGGAUGACGGCCUUCGGGGUGUAAACCGCUUUCGCCUGUGACGAAGCGUGAGUGAUGGUAAUGGGUAAAGAAGCACCGGCUAACUACGUG